AAUCCACGAAACAUCUCUGAUUAUCAUCUCAAGACACAAUCGCCUAACUAAAUCCAACUAACUAAAUCCAAACAUGUUCAAUAUCACAAUCACCUAAUUAAAUCCAUAUUAUUCAAGAUUAAUUAAUCCACCAAACAUCUUUGACUAUCUACUCAAGAUCACAAUCACCUAUAUAUAUUGAAAACUCUCGUAAUCCAUCAUCAAAUUUGUUCAAGAUAACAAUCGCCUAACUAAAUCCAAAUUGUCCCAUGUUUACUAAAGAAGUCACUACUUUCUUGAGAUUGAUGUUUCUUCUACCUCUAAUGGCUUCUUUAUUUCCCAAGAGAAGUAUAUUCAGGAUCAACAUUAUUGGGACUGCUAUGGAGCUCAACAUCCACCUUUGUGUCCACCUCCGCUCCCUGGAAAUCCAUAUGGGCGUCCAUUGCCUGGCGGCAGGUUGUUAUGUGUGCUGUCUUGAUCCCACAUCCCGUGUUCCCUUGCUGAACGACACCAUAACCGCACACUCAAGCUACCACCAAUGGCGAGCAAGAGCUUGGACAAUUGGCGCAUACCUGGAUUUUAAACACGGGACGCGCCCGAGAACACGACGCUACCUAUCGUCAAGGCCAAGGGCGCACAGUAGGAGAACGUGGGAUGCUUAAUCAAGUGCGUGAUACAAAGCCGCAAACAGUACAAGGACAUCAAGCCAGAUCAAAGGGGAACAGAGAGUGCACAGGCACGAGGGAUGCUGGACAAAGUCCAUCUGCUGCCACUAUCCCCUGUCUCUCUACCUCUCUUGCCUUGUUUACCAAUUGUUUUCGGUAGUGGCAUCAUCGCCUUGACUCGCUCGUGUGGCCCUCAUCUCUAUCCACCAAUAUGAUAAUCAGCAUGCUCAUCUACUAAACCUCGAUUCACAUAAUCCACCGGCCAUCUUUUACUAGCUCCUGAAAAUCAUAAUCACCUAACUAAAUCCAACCAGAUCACAAUCACCGAACUAAAUUAAAAUUGUUCCAAACUAAAUAAAAUAUCUUUUUAUCCAACAAUAUAAUAAUCAUCAUGCUCAUUUAUUAAACCUAAAAUCUCAUAAUCCACCAAACAUAUUCGAUUAUCUUCAUAGGACACAAUCACCUAACUAAAGGCAACUAAAAUCUCAUAAAUCAAAGAGAUUUUUGGUUAAAGAUAACAGUCACCUAAUUAAAUUCAAUUUUUUUCAAACUAAAUUAAAUAUCUAUUUAUGCACCAAUGUAAUAAUCACCAUUCUCAUCUACUAAACCUAAAAUCUCAUAAUCCAACAACCAUCAUUGGCUAUAUUCUCAAGACAGAAUCACCUAACUAAAUACACCUAAUCUCAUGAUCACUCGUCAAAUUAAAUAUCUGAUUAUCUACCAAUAUAAUAAUCACCAUGCUCAUUUCCAUACCUAAAAUCUCAUAAUCCACCAACAUUUUGACUUUCUCAAGACACAAUCACCUAACUAACUUCACCUAAAAUCAAAUAAAUCACCAAAAAUUUUGGUUGAAUAUCACAAUCACCGAACUAAAUCCAAAUUGUUCAAGAUUAAUUAAUCCANNAAACAUCUUUGACUAUUCCCUCAAGAUCUCAAUCAACUAAUUAGAUACGUUUAAAAUCUCCUAUUUCACCAUGAAAUUUGGUUAAAGAUCACAAUCGCCUAACUAAAUCCAAAUUAGGCCAAGUUUACUAAUAAUCCAUCUAUCCAUCAAUAUAAUAACCACCAAGCUCACCUACUAGACAUAAAUUCUCACAUAAUCCACCGAACAUCUUUGACUAUCUCACCAAGAUCAUAGUCAACUAAAUAAAUCCAACCCAAACAUCAAAAUACACUGUGAAUUUGGUUAAAAGUUCACGAUCACCUAACUAAAUUCGAAUUGUUUCAAACUAAAUGCAAGGUCAGUUUAUCCACCAAUAUAAUAAUCACCACGCUCAUGUACUAGGCUUAAGAUCUCAAAAUCCACCAAACAUCUUUGACCAUCUUCUCAAGAUCAUAAUAACUUAUCUAAAUCCACAUAAAUCAUCAUGAAACUCGAUUCAAUAUCGCAAUAGCCUAACUAAAUUCAAAUUGUUCAAGAUUAAUUAAUCCAUCGAAUAUCUUUGAGCAUCUUCUCAAGAUGAAAAUCAACUGACUAAAUUCAUCUAGAAUCUCAUAAUCCAUCAUGAAAUUCGGUUCAAGAUCACAAUCGCCUGACUAAAUCCAAUUUUUCUUAAGUUUAUUAAAAAAAAUACUUACCAAUAUAAUAACCACCAAGCUCACCUACUAGACCUAAAUUCACAUAAUCCACCAAACAUCUUAUACCAACUCGUCAAGAUCACAAUCACCUAACUAAAUCCAACCAAAAACUUAUAAUCCAUCGUGAAAUUUCAUUUAAGAUUGCAAUCACCUAACUAAAUCCAAAAUCUUUCAAAUACAAUUAAAGAUAUACUUAACAACCAACAUAAUAAUCACCAUGCUCAUCUAUCAUACCUAAAAUCUCAUAAUCCACCGAACAUUUUAGACUAUCUUCUCAAGAUUAAAUCACGUAACUAAAUCCACCUAAAAUCUCAUAAUUCAUCAUGAAAUACAGUUCAUAUCACAAUCAUCUAACUAAAUCCAAAUUGUCCAAGAAUUAAUCCACUAAACAUUUUCUACUAUCUCCUCAAGAUCACAAUGAACUAAAUAAAUGCAUCAAAAUCUCGUAAUCCACCAUGAAAUUUGGUCCAAGAUCACAAUAUUCUAACUAAAUCCAAGUUGCUUCAAGUUUAUUAAAGAUCCAUUUAUCCACCAAUAUAGUAACCACCAUGCUCAUUUAGUAGACAUAAAUUUUCAUAAUCCACCAAACAUCUUUGACUAUCUCGUCAAGAUCACAAUCACCUAACUAAAUCUCCACUUCAUCUCCAUUUAUUAAAACCAGAAUCAUCCCAUGGGCAUUAGUGACACCCUUGAGUUUUUAUAAAACAUCUAUGAGUAACAAAGAUUCUUCCCGAGUACUAUGAUUUACACGACUAGCAUGGCUAAGCAUUACUAUUAAACUUGGACAUAUGAACCACAUUUAUUUGCGACCACUACAUGGUUAGGAAGGAGGGGUAUUAAGAAUGUCAAAGGAGGGUGUCAAUAUCUUUUACAAGCUCGUAAAGACCCCAAUCACCCAACUAAAUCCAAGCAAAACCUCAUAAUCCAUCAUAAAAUUAGGUCAAAAUAUGACAAUCACCUAACUAAAUCCAUUUUUUCCAAAUUAAAUUAAAUAUUUGUUUAUCCAACAAUAUAAUAAUCCUUAUGCUUAUCUUGUAGAAAAAAAAUCUCAUAAUCCACCAAACUUCCUCGACUAUCUUCUGAAGACGGAAUCACCUAACUAAAUCCAACUAAAAUCUCAUAAAUCACCGAGAAAUUUGGCUCAAUGUCGCGAUCACCUAACUAAAUCCAAAUUGUUCAAAAUUAGUUAAUCCACCGAACAACUUUGACAUCUCCCAAAGAUCACAAUCUACUAACUAAAUCCAUUGAAAAUCUCGUAAUCCACCGUGAAAUUUGUUCAAGAUCACAAUUGCCUAACUACAUGCAGAUCGGUCCAUGUUUACUAAAGAUCCAUUUAUCCACCAAUAUAAUAACCACCGUGGCCCCUUACUAGACCUAAAUUAGCAUAUAUCAUCAAUCAUCUCUGACUAUCUCUUUAAGAUUACAGAUAUCUAACUAAAUCCAACAAAACCUCAAAAUCCCAUCAUGAAUUUGGCUGGAAAAAAACAAUCACCUAACUAAAUCAAAAUUGUUCCAAACUAAAUUGACGACCUGUUUAUCCACCAAUAUAAAAUCACCAUUCACAUCUUCUAUACCUAAAAUCUCGUAGUCAAGCAAACAUCUUUGACUAUAUUCUCAAGACACAAUCACCUAACUAAAUCCUCGUAAAAUCGCAUAAUCCAGCGUGAAGUUCGGUUUAGUAUCACGUCCACCUAAGUAAAUUCAUAUUGUCCAAGAUUAAUUAAUCCACCAAACAUCUUUAGAGUAUCUCCUUAAAAUCGCAAUCAACUAACUAAUCCAUCAAAAAUCUCAUAAUCCAUAAUAAAAUUUGGUUCAAGGCCAGAAUCGCCUAAUUAAAUCCAAAUAGUUUCAAAUUUAUUAAAGACUCAUUUAUUUACCAAUAUAAUAAUCAACAUGCUCAACUAUUAGACUAAAUUCACAUAAUCCAACGAAUAUAUUUUACUAACUCGUCGAAAUCAAAAACACCUAACUAAAACCAACCAAAACGCCCACCAUAAAAUUAGGUUAAAAGAUCACAAUCACCUGACUAAAUCCAAAUUGUUUCAAACUAAAUUAAAUAUAUGUUUAUCCACCAAUAUAAUAAUCAUCAUGCUCAUCUACUAGACCUAAAAUCUCAUAAUCCACCAAACAUCUCUGAUUAUCAUCUCAAGACACAAUCACCUAACUAAAUCCAACUAAAAUCUCAUAAAUCACAAAAAAAUAGUUCAAUAUCACAAUCACCUAACCAAAUCCAUAUUGUUCAAGAUCAAUUAAUCCACCAAACAUUUUUGACUAUCUCCUCAAGAUCACAAUCACCUAAAUCCAUUGAAAAAUCUCCUAGUCCAUGCAAUUUGUUUAAGAUCACAAUCGCCGAACUAAAUCCAAAUUGUUCCAUGUUUACUAAAGAAGGCGCUACUUUCUUGGAGAUUGAAGUUUCUUCUCUCUAAUGGCUUCUUUAUUUCCUAAGAAAAGCAUAUCUAGGAUCUUCUCACGCAUGCUGCUUUGAUGAGCACACUGCUGAGACCCCUAUGAAGCUCAACAUCCACUUUUGUGUCCACCUCCGCUCCUUGUAAAUCUGGAUGUGUAUCCGUUGUCUGGUGGCGGGUUGCUAUGUGUGUUGUCUUGAUCCCACAUCCCGUGUUCCCUUGCUGGUCGACACCGUAACCGCACGCUCAAGCACCACCAAUGGCGAGCAAGAGCUUGGACAAUUGGCGCAUACCUGGAUUUUAUACACGGGACGCGCCCGAGAACACGGCGCUACCUAUCGUCAAGGCCAAGGGCGCACCGUAGGAGAACGUGGGAUGCUUAAUCAAGUGCGUGACACAAAACCGCAAACAAGACAAGGACAUCAAGCCGGAUCAACGGGGAACAAAGAAUGCACGGGAACAUGGGAUGUUGGAUAAAGUCCAUCUGCUGCCACUAUCCUAGUCUCUCCACCUCUCUUGCCUUGUUUAUCAGCUAUUUUCAGUAGUGGCAUCAUCGCCUUGAGUCACUUGUGUGGCUCUCAUCUCUAUCCACCAAUAUAAUAAUCAGCAUGCUCAUCUACUAAACCUAGAUUCGCAUAAUCCACCGUCCAUCUUUUACUAGCUCGUCAAAAUCAUAAUCACCUAACUAAAUCCAACCAAAACCUUGUAAUCCACCGUAAAAUUAGGUUAAAAGAUCACAAUCACCGAACUAAAUCCAAAUUGUUCCAAACUAAACCAAAUAUAUGCUUAUCCAUCAAUAUAACAAUCAUCAUGCUCAUUUAUUAGACCUAAAAUCUCAUAGUCCACCAAACAUAUUUGAUUAUCUUCAUAGGACACAAUCACCAUUCUCAUCUACUAAAC
rnacentral:lncRNA from 1 species